GAUGAAGAAUGUAGCGAAAUGCGAUACUUGGUGUGAAUUGCAGAAUCCCGUGAACCAUCGAGUCUUUGAACGCAAGUUGCGCCCGAAGCCAUUAGGCCGAGGGCACGCCUGCCUGGGCGUCACACGUCGUUGCCCCCCCAUCUACUCCUUCGGGAUUGCGGGGGGCGGAUGAUGGCCUCCCGUGCGCCUCGCCGCGCGGUUGGCAUAAAUGCCAAGUCCUCGGCGACGCACGCCACGACAAUCGGUGGUUGCGAAACCUCGGUUGCCCGUCGUGUGCGGUCGUCGCGCAUCGAGGGCUCGAAAAAAUUGCCGGGUUCCGGCUCGGCUUUCAACGCGACCCCAGGUCAGGCGGGGUUACCCGCUGAAUUUAAGCAUAUCAAUAAGCGGAGGA
rnacentral:misc_RNA from 1 species